rnacentral:lncRNA from 1 species
CUGUGUCAUCCGAGGAAAGGGCGGUGAGGGGAACUACUGAAACAACAUCGAUAGUCCCACCACCUGAGGAGGUUCAGGCCGAGGCAAGAGAGUCCGAACAAUCUACGGCUGCACCAGUUGCUCCUUCAAUUUGGGUGCAGUCAAGCUCAAGCUUCCCCUCGCUUUCAAACAUGGGGCCAUCGACAACAGACCAGGGAAAAGCUUCGAUAGCGUCGGUAGAUGAUGCAGCAUCGGAGAGCCAUGCGGUGCACUUUGACCUCCAAGUGUCCGUCAAUGAAUCGGCCUUAGUUAAUUUUGUAUUGGCCAAGCGACUGUACCAAGCGACUCUUCUUCCAGCUG